rnacentral:rRNA from 1 species
UAGUACGUGAAACCGCUCAGGGGUAAACGGAGAAGAGCUGAAUAUCCGAAAGGGGAGAUUCACGUCUUACCAUUAGCUUAACUUUUAAAUAUCUUAUGAGAUGGUCACUCGCCCUGUCUAGUGUAAACUAUGAUAAGUGGGUUUGGUCGCUCGUAUUUAAUAAGUGAAGGCGAUGGUGGACCGCACUUCUCCUUUAGUAGGACGUUGCGACCUGUUAAAUAAUACUCUGCAAUAUUUUAGUUAAAGGGUCUGUAAUUUAAUUUAUUAUUUUAUAAAUUUUUACAGCUUUAACAAUAAUUGAUAUUGAGUAUAAUUUUAACAGUAACGACUGAUAGUGUUGAGCCACUUUUUUUUUUUUUUUUUUAAAAAAAAAAAAAUGUGUCUAUAACCGUCUGCAAGUGGGUAGAAUAUUUAUUAACUAAUGUCGGAUUUUUGUCCGUCUAGUUAAUUCUUCUACUGUUGGUAG